CGAACGCUUCUUUCCUCCCAAGUGCUUGCACUCAAUUGGAAAGAGGAGUGGCGGACGGGUGAGUAACACGUGGGUAACCUACCCAUCAGAGGGGGUUAACACUUGGAAACAGGUGCUAAUACCGCAUAACAGUUUAUGCCGCAUGGCAUAAGAGUGAAAGGCGCUUUCGGGUGUCGCUGAUGGAUGGACCCGCGGUGCAUUAGCUAGUUGGUGAGGUAACGGCUCACCAAGGCCACGAUGCAUAGCCGACCUGAGAGGGUGAUCGGCCACACUGGGACUGAGACACGGCCCAGACUCCUACGGGAGGCAGCAGUAGGGAAUCUUCGGCAAUGGACGAAAGUCUGACCGAGCAACGCCGCGUGAGUGAAGAAGGUUUUCGGAUCGUAAAACUCUGUUGUUAGAGAAGAACAAGGACGUUAGUAACUGAACGUCCCCUGACGGUAUCUAACCAGAAAGCCACGGCUAACUACGUGCCAGCAGCCGCGGUAAUACGUAGGUGGCAAGCGUUGUCCGGAUUUAUUGGGCGUAAAGCGAGCGCAGGCGGUUUCUUAAGUCUGAUGUGAAAGCCCCCGGCUCAACCGGGGAGGGUCAUUGGAAACUGGGAGACUUGAGUGCAGAAGAGGAGAGUGGAAUUCCAUGUGUAGCGGUGAAAUGCGUAGAUAUAUGGAGGAACACCAGUGGCGAAGGCGGCUCUCUGGUCUGUA
rnacentral:rRNA from 1 species